CGGCCAUUGUUUCAAUUUUUAGGGGGUAUCUUUUGAUAGUCUACAUACAAAGAAUGAGCAAAAGAACAGCUAGAACAUAUAGAAAGGCUGACAAUAAUGAAACUAAUUGUUGUUUAUUGUUAUUUCAUUUCCUUAGUCAAGAAUUCAUCAUAGAGACAAUUUGGACCAAUGAGAUCUGCACCUCAAGUUCUAAAUCAAAACAUUU
rnacentral:lncRNA from 1 species